AUAAAUUAUAAAUAUUGUAAAAUAUAAAUUACGAAAUAAAUUUUCUACAUUGUACGUUCCUCGCUUACGCAAGUUUAUCAUCUUCUAAGCUACGUUCUCAACCCCUGACCUUCUUCAAAUUGUAAAAUAUAAACUACGAGAUAAAUUUAAACAUAGAAUACAAAGAAACAUUAAAUUUCUUAAAAUCAUAUAAACCCAAACUUUAAGUACCCACAACUCAAUUUUGAUACUAAUUAAUAUUUAAUAAGAAUCAUCAAAAUAACACGAGUACGUAAUUAAACUAUAAAUAUAAAUUGUUGUGUUCAUAAAGAUAUGAAUUUGCACAAGCAGGAGAUAUCUGUCUUACAAAGUGCAAGAGUAACAUUAAUACAGCGUUAUUAGUAAGCUCGUUGAUAAAGCUGCUCCCUCUGAUAUUUAUCCAUGAUUGAUAACAAUAGUGAUACGAGACAGCUUGCCGUCGUUGCGGUUAUUCGCAUGGAUAGACGAUAAAGAAAUUGAGCACAGUAUGAUGCACGGAUCAGCCUACGAGUUCAAAGGGGAUAUAUUGAUCGUAGAAGGGAAAAUAACUGUUGCCUCGUGCUAAGCCGCCGAUGUGAAACACGAGGGUGCGUGUGCUGACCGCACACAUCCGGACGAAUGUCUUAUCGACAUGGGGUCGCGUGCACACGUGUGAAGAGAAACUGUCUGCACCAGGUUCGCUUCCAGGGCGCACAGUUCAAGAGAAGGUCUUGAUGAUGUCACGGAGACUCGUAUAGGUUCCAACUAUGAGACCAAGGACCGCGAAAAGUACGAGCGACAUGUUCUUUGCUAUCAUUAUCGCCUUUCCUGUGCGGUCGUGCACAUGCCAGAAUGUGCAGAUUUGAAUGAGGGCGGGGAACGCCAGGCCCAAACCAGAGAGACACAGAGCACCGAACAGGGAUAUAAACAGAUCUAGUUCCGGAAUUGCCACGGCUAACAGGACUGAAAUAUACGAAAGGAAAAGAGAUUAUAGCAUCAAUUCUUCUUAAAUUUAUUAUCGUUUGGAAAAAUUUUCUGAGAUGUGGCAAGUGAUUAGUCAAAGUUGAGAUGGACGAAGGGAUUGUAACUUUGAUGUUCUUUUACGAUUUAUUAUUUAGAGAAAUUUGUAGAGAAGCGAUUAGAUAAAGUUAGGAUUGCAGAGAGGGGAUGAUUACAGUUUUAGUAUGAUCAGACUAAUGAUUUUAUGGAGUGAGAGGAUCGAUAAGAUUAUUUUUAUCGCUCAGGAGAUUUUGUAGAACAAUUUUAGUCGAUUAAUCAAGAUUACGAUGGGAGUAGGGAUAAUUCAAGUUUUAGUAUGAUCAGACUAAUUAUUUUGUGGAGUGAGAGGAUCGAUAGGAUUAUGUUUGUCGUUUAGAGGACUUUGUAGAGAUACUUCAGUCGAUUAAUCAGUAUUACGAUGGGAGUAGGGAUAAUUAAAGUUAUUGGUGUGAUCGGAGUAAUUGUUUUGUGAAGUUGAGAGGCUGAUAACAUUGUUUCUAUUAUUUACAACAUUUUGUAGAAACAUCUGAUCGGUUAGUCAACGACAGGAUGGGAAAAAGUACGACUAAGUUUUAGUAUACUCGAUCAGAGUAAUUAUUAUCUGAUUUUUAUUAGAAUUGAAUUGUUAGGAAAUUUUAAAGAUAGAAUAAGAAAUAAAGUUUUAGUUUCGCAUUUAGUUGAUCGUUUCAGUUUCUAAAUAAAACUAUGUUCUAUAGGGAAUUUGAAUUAUCAGAAGCAAGUAAGAGGCAAACAAGACCUUUAGCGAGUUAGAUUUAGAUUCGAUUAAGCCUCUGGAAUAAUUACUCCGAGUUAGAAGAGACCGAGUCACAGGUCAGGGAGAAUCUAAAGCAGUUGUGUAUAUUUGUGGAACAGUUAGUUUUAACCAGUUUGAAUCAAACGCGAGUAAGCCUGUACAAUUAAAGCCAGGAAAAGCCCCAAGAUAUAAAAUCAAUUACUUCCAUAUCAAUUCGUGCAGCUAAAAUAACAAAGUUAAUGAUCAAUAGAUUACACAGAUAGAGGCAAAACUACGUCACGUAAAUUAGGAUCAAAAAACAAGUUCCCUUCAAUGACAAAUGUUUCUUUACUUAUUAGAAGAACAAAUUCAGCAUUUAAAUAGAAUCAAAUAUAACACAUUCCUCUAUUAUUAAAAGGAGAAUUCGUGGAAUAACCGCAGAAAGCUUACCUACACCAAACUUAAAUUUCCAAUUCUAAUUAAUUCUCAAUUCCAAUAAAUUGUAAUCAAUUCACUCUACAAUUAAUUAAAUUCUCACUUAAUCCUAUUGCAAACUAAAACUCAAAAUAUAAAAAAACCGAUCAAUUAUAAAUAUAAUAAUAAGCAAGUACUAACAAACCAAACGACCAGAAGCAGAACGAAACUAUGUAUCUAUUAAUCGCUAUCAAAAAUCAAAGAUCCUUUACGAAGGUAU